AGUGAACGCUGGCGGUAGGCCUAAUACAUGCAAGUCGAACGAACGCACAGUGAGCGUUUGCCUCUAACGGUGGCGACGGGCGGGUGAGUGACGCGUACAUCGCCUACCUAUUAUUCGGGGAGAACAUCGUAAGGCCGGAUACGAUACUGGCUAAUAUAUUGUACGGGAUGAUUCAAGAGAUAAAGACGGUUUUGGUGUGUCAAAGAGAUGCAGCCGGGUCGCAUUAGCGAGUUGGUAAGGUAACGGCCAACCAAGGCGACGAUGCGUAGCUGGCCUGAGAGGAUGAUCAGCCACACUGGAACUGAGACACGGUCCAGACUCCUACGGGAGGCAGCAGUGGGGAAUAUUGGACAAUGGGCGCAAGCCUGACCCAGCCAUGCCGCGUGGGUGAAGAAGGCCUUCGGGUUGUAAAGCCCUUUUGUUGGGAAAGAAAAGCAGCAGGAGAAUACCCCGCCGUUCUGACGGUACCCAAAGAAUAAGCACCGGCUAACUUCGUG
rnacentral:rRNA from 1 species